rnacentral:rRNA from 1 species
UGGGGUAUAUUGGACAAUGGGGGGAACCCUGAUCCAGCCACGCCGCGUGUGUGAAGAAGGCCGUAUGGUUGUAAAGCACUUUAAGCGAGGAGGAGGGUACUGGUAUUAAUACUACCAGCUACUGGACGUUACUCGCAGAAUAAGCACCGGCUAACUCUGUGCCAGCAGCCGCGGUAAUACAGAGGGUGCGAGCGUUAAUCGGAUUUACUGGGCGUAAAGCGUGCGUAGGCGGCUAAUUGAGUCGGAUGUGAAAUCCCCGAGCUUAACUUGGGAAGUGCAGUCGAUACUGGUUAGCUAGAGUGGGGGGGAGGAGGGUAGAAGUCCAGGUGUAGCGGUGAAAUGCGUAGAGAAGUGGAGGAAUACCGAUGGCGAAGGCAGCCAUCUGGCCUAACACUGACGCUGAGGUACGAAAGCAUGGGGAGGAAACAGG